GGAGGACAAGGACACUUAGUGAUAGGAGCUAAUGGAGAGGAAAGAGGCUGAAGCUAUAAAAGAAAGAGAAGUGGAAACAAUCCUGGAGACGGGUCAGUGGACCGGUUCAAGUGUUGAAGAUUCCACCACAACAGGGCCAACGACCUGCUAAAAACGAUGCUGAUGCCUGUAUACACUUUACUGAGCUGUUUGCUUAACUUUUGAGAUCGAGAAAACGCAAGCCAAAAUUAAAUAGAAGAGCUACAAGAAAUGCUGGGGAAAUGCUGGGGAAUUCUGGGGGCUUGUUUGUAGAGGAAACACAGGACUUUGGGGUCAACUUUCAGAAAGCCCAAGAUAGACAUCAAUAUGUCUCCAAACAGCCACAAGACCUCUAAGAAUCCCAUUCACCUGAGCGAUCUUAGGGUGAUCUGUGCUGGACAAACAAAGCACGCCCAGCCCCCCCAAAUUAUGGAGAGUUGGUAAUCAGGUGCACUUUGGGUUUCUCCAUUUACCCAUAAAGGCAUCUAACUUGGUGGGAGGAUGUGCUGCAUGGGAAGGAACUGAGCACAUUUCCAAUUUCAAGGAAUCGUUCCCUAAGACCGACUUGGAAACGUAUCACCACCUCCUGUGUGACCCGGUUAUGAUUUUUCCAGAAGUAUUGAGGUUUGGGGAAAGUGGAAUUAAAAACAGUAUCACAUAUCUUAUGUGUGUGAUCGAAUCUCACAGUUGAUCAGGAACUCAUGUUCUUCAAUCACAAGAUUAAAAACAAAAA